CACGUAGUUAGCCGGGGCUUCUUACUCAGGUACCGUCAACUUCUUCCCUGCUGAUAGAGCUUUACAUACCGAAAUACUUCUUCACUCACGCGGCGUCGCUGCAUCAGGGUUUCCCCCAUUGUGCAAUAUUCCCCACUGCUGCCUCCCGUAGGAGUUUGGGCCGUGUCUCAGUCCCAAUGUGGCCGGUCACCCUCUCAGGUCGGCUACUGAUCGUCGUCUUGGUGGGCCGCUACCCCGCCAACUAACUAAUCAGACGCGGGUCCAUCUCAUACCACCGGAGUUUUUCACACCGGACCAUGCGGUCCUGUGCGCUUAUGCGGUAUUAGCAGUCAUUUCUAACUGUUAUCCCCCUGUAUGAGGCAGGUUACCCACGCGUUACUCACCCGUCCGCCGCUCAGUCAAUCUUAAUUCCAUCCGUAAACUUCCUUAACAUUGCUUCGCUCGACUUGCAUGUGUUAGGCACGCCGCCAGCGUUCAUCCUGAGCCAGGAUCAAACUCU
rnacentral:rRNA from 1 species